AUUGAACGCUGGCGGCAUGCCUUACACAUGCAAGUCGAACGGCAGCACGGGCUUCGGUCUGGUGGCGAGUGGCGAACGGGUGAGUAAUGUAUCGGAACGUACCAUUGAGUGGGGGAUAACGUAGCGAAAGUUACGCUAAUACCGCAUAUUCUCUCCGGAGGAAAGCAGGGGACCGCAAGGCCUUGCGCUCUUUGAGCGGCCGAUAUCAGAUUAGCUAGUUGGUGGGGUAAAAGCUCACCAAGGCGACGAUCUGUAGCGGGUCUGAGAGGACGAUCCGCCACACUGGAACUGAGACACGGUCCAGACUCCUACGGGAGGCAGCAGUGGGGAAUUUUGGACAAUGGGGGCAACCCUGAUCCAGCCAUGCCGCGUGAGUGAAGAAGGCCUUCGGGUUGUAAAGCUCUUUCAGCCGGGAAGAAAUCGCAUGGAUUAAUACUCUGUGCGGAUGACGGUACCGGAAUAAGAAGCACCGGCUAACUACGUGCCAGCAGCCGCCGUAACAC
rnacentral:rRNA from 1 species